CCUACGGGUGGCAGCAGUGGGGAAUAUUGGGCAAUGGGCGCAAGCCUGACCCAGCAACGCCGCGUGAAGGAAUAAUGCUCUCUGGUUGUUAACUUCUUUUCUUAGGGACGCAGAAAGUGACGGUGCCUCAGUCUUACGCCACGCCUAACUACGUGCCCGCGGCCGCCGUAAUACGGAGGUGGCAAGCGUUGUCCGGAUUUAUUGGGUGUAAAGGGCGUGUAGGCGGGAAAGUAAGGCAGAUGGGAAAACUCAGGGCUCAACCCUGAGCCUGCAGUUGAAACUGUGGUUCUUGAGUGCGGGAGAGGCAAUCGGAAUGCCGGGUGUAGCGGUGAAAUGCAUAGAUAUACGGAGGAACACCAGUGGCGAAGGCGGAUUGCUGGAGAGUAACUGACGCUGAGGCGCGAAAGCGUGGGGAGCAAACAGGAUUAGAUACCCGGGUAGUC
rnacentral:rRNA from 1 species